rnacentral:rRNA from 1 species
UACGAAGGGGGCUAGCGUUGUUCGGAAUCACUGGGCGUAAAGGGCGCGUAGGCGGCCGAUCAAGUCGGGGGUGAAAGCCUGUGGCUCAACCACAGAAUUGCCUUCGAUACUGUUUGGCUUGAGACCGGAAGAGGUUAGUGGAACUGCGAGUGUAGAGGUGAAAUUCGUAGAUAUUCGCAAGAACGCCAGUGGCGAAGGCGGCUCACUGGCCCGGUACUGACGCUGAGGUGCGAAAGCGUGGGGAGCAAACAGG